rnacentral:rRNA from 1 species
CACGUAGGGGGCGAGCGUUGUCCGGCAUUAUUGGGCGUAAAGAGCUCGUAGGCGGUUUGUCGCGUCUGCUGUGAAAACCUAAGGCUCAACCUUGGGCUUGCAGUGGGUACGGGCAGACUAGAGUGCGGUAGGGGUGACUGGAAUUCCUGGUGUAGCGGUGGAAUGCGCAGAUAUCAGGAGGAACACCGAUGGCGAAGGCAGGUCACUGGGCCGCAACUGACGCUGAGGAGCGAAAGCAUGGGGAGCGAACAGG